rnacentral:rRNA from 1 species
CAGUAGCCACGGGAAUACGUAGGGUGCAAGCGUUAAUCGGAAUUACUGGGCGUAAAGCGCACGUAGGCGGCUUGGUAAGUUAGAGGUGAAAGCCCGGAGCUCAACUCCGGAAUUGCCUUUAAGAUUGCCGAGCUAGCAGGUGAGAGAGGUAAGUGGAAUUCCGAGUGUAGAGGUGAAAUUCGUAGAUAUUCGGAAGAACACCAGUGGCGAAGGCGGCUUACUGGCUCAUACUGGACGCUGAGGUGCGAAAGCGUGGGGAGCAAACAGGAUUAGAUACCCCGGUAGUCCCUGUCCCUUAUAA